rnacentral:rRNA from 1 species
CGACCGAGUUCGAGAGGUUCUGUAAUGUGUG